CUUCGGUUAAAUUGUGUAAAGGUUAGUUUCUUCUUGCAAUUUUUUUUCUAUAUAUACGUUUAAAUUUAGCCUUGCGUCACAUCGCAAGCUGUUUAUAACUUUUCAUUCGUUCCGCAGAUGAAUUAAUAAAUAUCAGUCCUGGAGAUGACUCAAAUCCAGAGUCGAAACGUUGACAUCAAAUUGGUUGUUGUUAAUUAAAAGACCUACAUAUCCAAGAAUUCAUUUUACAUUAAUACAAGGAGGUCAAGACUAUUUUAUAUAUAUUGAACAAUGCAGUAGCAGAAACUCAACAUUUUGUUAAAACGUGAAUGUUUAAGUUCAUUCAAAAAUCCGCCAUUUAUAUAUUUAAUUUCCAACAGUAGUGUAUAAUACGUAUAGGUAUAUUGCUGGAAUUUAGAAGCUCAGAGAUUUAUUUGAGAAAAUUUGUAUGCGUGUAAAUAAUUAUACUUUAAAGUACGGAGAAAUCGGGUGAGUAACGAUUCGGAGUCCGAUCUUACAUAUAAAUAUUAUUAAACAUAUAAUAUUAUAUUCUUGUACAAAUUGACCUGAUGACGUAUACGCAGAAUGUUAACGCAGAGUUUUAGGUUUCAUCGCGAGUCGACAGGUCUCAGAAAAUAUACCAUUGUAACAACAUUUGCGAAUAGUUAUACUAUAAAUAGUUAUAGUUACGCCAUGUACAUCUAAUAAUUACUUUACUGCCACCACAAGAAAAAUUCUCUGUACCUGAUCCGACGUGAUAUAAAAUUCAUGUUAACAAAUCGUAACCUGAUUGUUGUUUAUUUAAAAUUAGACUCUUAAAAAAGAUCGAUUAAAAUAGUCAGUAGAUCGGAGAUUAUCGAUGCCACGGAUCAGACUGAUAGGCGCCACACUAAGAGCAACCAAGGAUGCAUGCCGAUGCGCAGAGUGCCAAAGCCGCAAGUCCACGGACAUUCAUAUGCGCGCUUUGCGCAGCCGCAGUUCUGUCCACAAGAAAUUGAUUCUGUUUCAUUCAGCUUGUUGUUAGAUGUAGAUUUAAAAAUUGAUUCACUUUGUACUCAUUCUAACACCAUCGAUGACAUUUCAAGUUCAUUCAUGUUCGUUCCAUUCGAAGAUUUCUCUUCUCGAUUUCAUAGUAUUCGUUCAUACCGUUUUGACAAUUUUGCCAUCAAACGAAAAAUAACGCAAAAUGGCAAAAACUAGAAGUCAAUUAUAUUUAAAAAAUCACUAUUUUAAAUUAUAAUUUCAUUACGAAGGGAUUAAAUACCGAUCACGAGUGAAUAACGCCGUAGUUCAUUUGAUGAUGACAUGUAUAGGCCUUUAUAAGCAGAACACUUCAUUUAGCAUACAGCUAGAUACAUAGGUAUAUAUUAUAUUAUAUAUAUUAUAUAAUUUAUAUAUAUAUAUAUAUAUAUAUUUAUAUAAGACAGGACCCGCUAAUACAUAUAUAUGAAUUGACACGAAGAAUUCAUUAUAAUUCUUAUCUAUGGUUGAUAAUACUGACAAAAACCAAGGCUAUGAAUACUAACUGCAGGUUCAUCAAAGAAUCUUUGCGUAACGUUGAAUGCAGGAAUGUAAUGUUAUUCUUUAAACGAUCAGUCAUUACACAUGCAGCUUACUCAAAUCCAUCAGGAAAGAUUUUGGUGUGAU